rnacentral:rRNA from 1 species
CCUACGGGAGGCAGCAGUGGGGAAUAUUGGACAAUGGGCGCAAGCCUGAUCCAGCAAUGCCGCGUGAGUGAUGAAGGCCUUAGGGUUGUAAAGCUCUUUUACCCGUGAUGAUAAUGACAGUAGCGGGAGAAUAAGCCCCGGCUAACUCCGUGCCAGCAGCCGCGGUAAU